CAGCAGCCACGGUAAUACGGAGGAUCCAAGCGUUAUCCGGAAUCAUUGGGUUUAAAGGGUCCGUAGGCGGUCUUGUAAGUCAGUGGUGAAAGCCCAUCGCUCAACGGUGGAACGGCCAUUGAUACUGCAGGACUUGAAUUAUUGGGAAGUAACUAGAAUAUGUAGUGUAGCGGUGAAAUGCUUAGAGAUUACAUGGAAUACCAAUUGCGAAGGCAGGUUACUACCAAUUGAUUGACGCUGAUGGACGAAAGCGUGGGUAGCGAACAGGAUUAGAUACCCCAGUAGUCCCUGUCUCUUAUAC
rnacentral:rRNA from 1 species